CUUCAGAACUGCCUUAAUUCUACGUGGCAUUGAUUCAACAAGGUGCUGAAAGCAUUCUUUAGAAAUGUUGGCCCAUAUUGAUAGGAUAGCAUAUUGCAGUUGAUGGAGAUUUGUGGGAUGCACAUCCAGGGCACGAAGCUCCCGUUCCACCACAUCCCAAAGAUGCUCUAUUGGGUUGAGAUCUGGUGACUGUGGGGGCCAUUUUAGUACAGUGAACUCAUUGUCAUGUUCAAGAAACCAAUUUGAAAUGAUUCAAGCUUUGUGACAUGGUGCAUUAUCCUGCUGGAAGUACUGUAGCCAUCAGAGGAUUGAUACAUAGUGGCCAUAAAGGGAUGGACAUGGUCAGAAACAAUGUUCAGGUAGGCCGUGGCAUUUAAACGAUGCCCAAUUGGCACUAAGGGGCCUAAAGUGUGCCAAGAAAACAUCCCCCACACCAUUACACCACCACCACCAGCCUGCACAGUGGUAACAAGGCAUGAUGGAUCCAUGUUCUCAUUCUGUUUAUGCCAAAUUCUGACUCUACCAUCUGAAUGUCUCAACAGAAAUCGAGACUCAUCAGACCAGGCAACAUUUUUCCAGUCUUCAACUGUCCAGCUUUGGUGAGCUCUUGCAAAUUGUAGCCUCUUUUUCCUAUUUGUAGUGGAGAUGAGUGGUACCCGGUGGGGUCUUCUGCUGUUGUAGCCCAUCCGCCUCAAGGUUGUGCGUGUUGUGGCUUCACAAAUGCUUUGCUGCAUACCUCGGUUGUAACGAGUGGUUAUUUCAGGCAAAGUUGCUCUUCUAUCAGCUUGAAUCAGUCGGCCCAUUCUCCUCUGACCUCUAGCAUCAACAAGGCAUUUUCGCCCACAGGACUGCCGCAUACUGGAUGUUUUUCCCUUUUCAAACCUUUCUUUGUAAACCCUAGAAAUGGUUGUGCAUGAAAUUCCCAGUAACUGAGCAGAUUGUGAAAUACUCAGACCGCCCGUCUGGCACCAACAACCAUGCCACGCUCAAAAUUGCUUAAAUCACCUUUCUUUCCCAUUCUGACAUUCAGUUUGGAGUUCAGGAGAUUGUCUUGACCAGGACCACACCCCUAAAUGCAUUGAAGCAACUGCCAUGUGAUUGGUUGAUUAGAUAAUUGCAUUAAUGAGAAAUUGAACAGGUGUUCCUAAUAAUCCUUUAGGUGAGUGUACAUUGUGUGUCAAGUUCGCACAGACAUGCUAACAAUCCAGGCAAGUGGUUGGAACAAGUGAAAGGCAGAAAACCUUGACCGGACACUGGCCAAAAGAUACAUCAAGACAGACUGUACAAAGGAUUGCAGAGGCAACAAAGGACCUGGAGAAACUCACUGCUGAGUUAUCUCUACAGCAAGACACAGUCCAGCAGUGGGUGUCUGAUGUUCGCAGUGGACCUCAGGAGCAACAAUCCAAAAUGACCUGCAGAGAACCACCGAGGGGCUAUAUUUGGGCAUCAAACAGCGAAAAUUUCAGCUGUAUCGUCAGUCUGGUGGGAAUAAGCGAAGGCAUCAACUGAGAAGAAAGAUUGCUGUUGAGAAGAAAGCCUUGGAAGUUGCCAUCAAUGACCACAAUGCUACUGUGGGGGAAGUUGAAAAACUGCCUCCUCCCAAUGAACUCCUGGCUGUGGACAACUACUCCUGGCCAUGGGAAUGUCAUGGUGAUAUGGAGCAGAAAAAAAUGUGUUUGACUGUCUAGACUGAAAGAAGUUAUUGUGGUUCGCGAAGUCAAGCAGCACAAUGGAGUAUGUGAGGAGUGUUGCUGGACUGAUUGAAGAGUUUACCUUUCAGCUCACUGAAGACACCAAUGAGAAAUCUAAGGACAAUAAAUAGUUCGUCUUUUUCUUAAAUUUGCUUCUCUGGUAACCAUUGGCUCAUUUCUUUAUAUUUUAAUGUCACAUUCUCAGGCAGUACAGAGGGCUUAAUGGAGAAAGGACGUGAGGGACUACUCUGUGUGCUGAAGGGAAGAUUGUGUGAAGUUGAAGCACAACUGGCUACAGCACGCACAAUAUACAAAAGUAUUCUUGGACUGCAAACAUUGUCCUUAGAUGACUUCUCUGAAGAGGAAGACUUAGAGAAUACUUCCUCAACUGAUGAGGAACUGGGAGAGUAGUUAUUAUGGAGAUGAUGUGUAUGACUCUAAGAUGUCUUCACAGUGUGUUGAACCCAAACGUCAGUGCUGUAAUAAAUUGUAUGUGAAACUGAGGCUAUUUUACUGCUGUUGCAAGAUUUCUAUGUUUAGAGCAUGUACUGCAAAUUCCAGUGAAACAAUAAAAACCCAUUAUUUUAGCCCAUUAGUCCCCACCCUCUGG